rnacentral:lncRNA from 1 species
AAGUCGGGCAACAAACACUUUUGCUAUGCGCACGGAUUACGCGAAGGCUUUGAGUACGUCAAAGUUAAUGGCAUCCUAAGGGAAGAAUCCCGUCCGUUUGAAGCCAACUGUAGAGAAGAAGUACUUACACGCCAUGGGUCUAACCUCGGCUACAUUGGAGAGGUAGUCUCCUUGACUACUGUCAAAGAAGUUCUUCAGACGCUUCAAAACCACCCUGUUGCUGGAUGCAUUCCCGUCUUUGAACCAGACUACAGCUCUAUUAAUGAUGUAAGUGUAUUAUUCAGUUGUGUCUUGUUCUUUUUCUUGUUCAUAACAAUUUAUGUUAAUUUGGCAGCAACUGUACUACGGCCCUACAUCUCCACUCUCACGUUACGAAACCAUGCAUGCGAUCAGCUUUGUUGGCGCUGGAGGAGUCAAGGAAGGUGAGAAGCAUGUGAAUGCUAGAUCCAGUCACGGUGUUAACUUCGGCAAAGACGGCUAUUUCAAAAUUUGCUUCCAGCACGUGAUAAUCUGCCUCACCCGUGGACACCACAUGAGGUAUCUUGAAGACCCGGUUCUUCUUCCUUGCAGAUUUGUAUACCCAGAGCUCCUAUCUCUAGAAAAGGACAAAGAGAAGAGAAGAGACGACACGAUAUAGAUCUCUUUCUUGGUAUGCCAGAGUUCUUAAAUCUCUUUGAAUUUUUACUUUGAAGAAUCUUAGUUUCACUCAGACUUAUCUUCUUUUCUUUGGACUUUCAGGAGGGUGAUUUUGGCAGUGAAGCUGUAGCUAUGGCUCAUAAACUCUUUUAAUUAUUAGUAUGUUUUCCUACUGUCUGUUGACCUGAACAGCGCUUAGGGUUAUUAUGUGUGUUGGUGGAUCGUUCAUUGAUUUAACAAAGGGUAUGUCUGGAUCUGAGAAGAAGAGGAUUAUGUUUGCUAGAUUUGUCAAAACCUUGUUUCUGAGUAAACGAUCUUUUAGAUAAUAAUACUUCUCUUGGAAAAAUAAAACGUAGCAGUGUCUCACCGGUUAAGGAAGAACAAGAUCAGCUGUCCAGAACAAUUGCAUCAGUGAGUCACAGCAGUAACCUGUUUCUUCAUCAAGCCUGAGACGGCACAUUAAGGCUUGUGGAAGGACAAGGUGCACCCACGGUUGGUUCCAGCUGUUCACACCAUGAGCAUGAGCGUCACAGUCAAGGUAACCACAAAACUUAGUUUGGUAGCCAUUUUCUCUGAAGAUUGAUAUGCUUGAGAUUUGUUUGUGUUUGGUGAUAACCGUAGAGAGUUUAGUUUAUAUAGAGACACUUGGGGCCUUGACUGUUACAUGUAAAUGGUAGAAUGAAAAGGCUAAAGUAAUUACAUAGGAAACUCGUUAACUAGAGAACAUAGUGUCUGGAUUCAAGAGGGUUAACAACAUUACUAGGCUUGAACUUGAGGGACAAAGGCUGUGGUGAAGAGGCAAGAACAUGUUCAUCACCAUUAUUGUGGUCAGAGUCAUUGUCGUCAUCAGAGUAACCUUGGAGCACGUCACCUUCUUGAGGAGUGAAACCAAGAAGAGCACCAAUCAUAGUAGACCAGCACAUGAGAGAGUCCAACGGUUCUGCAACACCCAGGUCCAGUGUAAUAAGUCUCACCGGUUAAGGAAGAACAAGAUCAGCUCUCCAACAGUGUUGAAGCUGCAUCAGUGAGUCCCAGCAGUAACCUGUUUCUUCUUCAUCAGCGGUAGACAAGGCUUGUGGAAGGAGAAGGUGCGUGCACACCAACGGUUGGCUUCAUGAGUGGUCGAGAUGUCACUGUGGGUGAAACCACAAUGAGCAUGAGCAUCACAGUGAAGGUAACCAAGAGACUUGGUUUAGUAGCGCCAUUAGAGAGUUUAGGAAGUGAAUAUGGUUGAGAUUUGUUUUGUGUUUGUGAUGAGAAGUGAGUGAGUGAUAAAACUUAAGAGUGACACUUGGUGCAUUGACAGUUACAAGUAAAUGGUAGAGUGAAAGGGCUAAAAGUAAUUCAAUAAAACAUAAGCUAUGGAUUCAUGGGUUGCAACUGUACUAGGCUUAAAUUUGAGGGAGAGAGGCAGUGGUGAGGAGGCAAAAGCAUGUUCAUCAACAUUCCCACCAAUCAUAGAAUGCAAUGGUAGCCACAGGGAUAGAGUUAUAGAGUUUUGUCUUGAUACAACCCAACUUCUUCAACGUUAUUCUCUCUGAUAAGCCUAUAUGGUGUUAAGCCUGAUUAUCAAGGCAGUGUGUCUUCAUCAGCACUAAAACACACUCAUCAAACUGCGCAAGAGCUACUUCCUGCAAUUCUAUGUGAUUUGGGUUCAAAGCAGUCUCUGUCAGCAUCUCGUUGGCAUGAACCAACUCGUUUUGAUGUGGUUAGAACUGAUUCAGUUUCACAUAUUGAUGGAGUUCCACCACUUGAUGUUUUUUCUUUAGAAUAAAUUAUACUAUCCAUCAAACUGUAUAUCAGUGACAUGCUUUUGACCAAAUUGUGAUUCAAGUUUCAGUUUCCUCCAAAGUUUUGCUAGAUUCCUUUGCACCACAAGAUUCUGGUUUCUUGACAAUAUUGUCCAAUGGAGAACCAAUUUGAUCUGGUGCAAAGCGAAUCAAUAGUUUCUCUCUGCUUUGACAGUUUUUUUGUCAGGGAAUUUUUAAAGGCAAUGAUUUUUUGCUCAAAUUAUUUAUAUUCAUAUUUGUUGGAUUCAUUGGCUUUGAAUGUAACACAGGAAAGAUGCAGAAUAAAUGCAAAACAUUUUAAAUGCAGAUUGGACUGCAAUUUUUUUGCCAUUCAACACAUUUUUUGCAGAUCAAAAAUAAAUAAUUAAAAAAUAAAAAAUCUGCAUGCAGAUCUAAAUUGCACAUAAAUAUUUUGAUCUGCAACUAAGGAAGAAAAAGAGGCUGUACACUUACAGAUCAAUAAUAUAAAUUUAUUUAUAUUGGCUAUUAAUUAUUAAUAGAUAGUCUACUUUGCUAAUUCAUGUUAUUCACUUUGAAACUAAAUAACUAAAUCUUUUAAACAAAAUUUAAUAAUUUCGUUUUAUAAAUAAUUUAUUUUAAAAUGAUUUUAUUUUAUAGAAUUUAAAUAAUUUUAUAAAAAAAGACGAAGGAGAAGUCGGGCAACAAACACUUUUGCUAUGCGCACGGAUUACGCGAAGGCUUUGAGUACGUCAAAGUUAAUGGCAUCCUAAGGGAAGAAUCCCGUCCGUUUGAAGCCAACUGUAGAGAAGAAGUACUUACACGCCAUGGGUCUAACCUCGGCUACAUUGGAGAGGUAGUCUCCUUGACUACUGUCAAAGAAGUUCUUCAGACGCUUCAAAACCACCCUGUUGCUGGAUGCAUUCCCGUCUUUGAACCAGACUACAGCUCUAUUAAUGAU